rnacentral:rRNA from 1 species
UUGACCUCGGAUCAGGUAGGGAUACCCGCUGAACUUAAGCAUAUCAAUAAGCGGAGGAAGC